UCUGGACAGGUUUUGAUAAAUCUCCCCCACUGUGUGGAGACUGUAACAAUCUCCCACAGCAGUUCCUGGACCACUUGUACAGCAGGGACGGUAUUGCAGCUUCCGGUCACCAGGGGGAGCUCAUCACAGCAGACUCGCACAGCAGGAACAUAGCGUACGGUUGCAGUGGGUUGAGAACAUCAGCAGCAAAGCAGAAAGAACGCAUCAUCAGGAGAUCAUUGCCUGUUAAAUUUCUUCACUGAACUGAUAAAUGAAGAAAAUGUAUUGCUCCAGUGGAGCACAAUGUGCUUACAUGUGGUUAUUACCGCACGUCAGGCCAAGACCAAAGAGCUGUCCAAGGAUGUCAGGGACAAGAUUGUAGACCUACGCAAGGCUGGAAUGACCAAGCAGGUACGUGCUAAGCUUAUAACAGUUGGUGCGAAUAUUUGCAAAUCGAAGAAAAAUAAGUUGGGGGCUGCAUGCAACAUCUCACCUUGUAAGAUUUGAUGAUCAUGAGAACAAUUAGAAAUCAGCCCAGAACUACAUCUUGUCAAUAAGCUCAAGGCAUCUGGAACCAUAGUCACCAAGAAAACAAUUGGUCACAAUCUAUGCCAUGAAGGACUGAAAUCUUGCAACACCUACAAGGUCCCCCUGCUCAAAAAGAAAAGCUGCCUAUGACAACAAGAACGGCAUCCCCAUCGUGAAACAUGCAGGAGGAAACAUUAUGCUUUGGGGGUGUUUUUCUUCUAAGUGUACAGGACAACUUUACUGCAUUAAAGGACGAUA